rnacentral:rRNA from 1 species
GACGAACGCUGGCGGCGUGCUUAACACAUGCAAGUCGAGCGGUAAGGCCCUUCGGGGUACACGAGUGGCGAACGGGUGAGUAACACGUGGGUGAUCUGCCCUGCACCUCGGGCUAAGCCUGGGAACCUGGGUCUAAUACCGGAUAGGACUCCGGACUGCAUGGUCUGGGGUGGAAAGCUUUUGCGGUGUGGGAUGGGCCCGCGGCCUAUCAGCUUGUUGGUGGGGUGAUGGCCUACCAAGGCGACGACGGGUAGCCGGCCGGAGAGGGUGACCGGCCACACUGGGACUGAGAUACGGCCCAGACUCCUACGGGAGGCAGCAGUGGGGAAUAUUGCACAAUGGGCGCAAGCCUGAUGCAGCGACGCCGCGUGAGGGAUGACGGCCUUCGGGUUGUAAACCUCUUUCAGCAUCGACGAAGCGAAAGUGACGGUAGGUGCAGAAGAAGGACCGGCCAACUACGUGCCAGCCGCCGCCGUAA